rnacentral:lncRNA from 1 species
AAAACUAUUACUGCCUAAUAUAGAAAUGACGGGUGCCGGAAGUAGCAAACAGGGAGCGAAUCUCAGGAUCUUGUUAGACGUUGUAUCAUGGGAUUCUGAUUGCAUAAAACCGUGGGCAAUUAAAGAAUUAAGGAAAGAGCAUCUCGCUUCCACGAGAACCCGUUCUUUGUUCAUCGUAUUUUGAUAUCAAGUAAUGUAUAUUUUAUUUCUGUUUUAUUCAGGGCCGGCUUA